CCUACGGGAGGCAGCAGUGGGGAAUAUUGCACAAUGGGGGAAACCCUGAUGCAGCGACGCCGCGUGAGUGAAGAAGUAAUUCGUUAUGUUAAGCUCUAUCAGCAGGGAAGAAAAUGACGGUACCUGAGUAAGAAGCCCCGGUUAACUACGGGCCAGCAGCCGCGGUAAUACGUAGGGGGCAAGCGUUAUCCGGAUUUAAUGGGUGUAAAGGGAGCGUAGAGGGUAUGGCAAGUUUGACGGGAAAGCGGCGGGCUUAACCCUGGGACUGCUUUGGAAACUGUUAGACUAGAGUGCGAGAGAGGUAAGUGGAAUGCCUGGUGUAGCGGUGAAAUGCAUAGAUAUUACGAAGAACACCGAUGGCGAAGGCAGCUUACUGGACAGUAACUGACGUUGAGGCACGAAAGCGUGGGGAGCGAACAGGAUUAGAUACCCGGGUAGUC
rnacentral:rRNA from 1 species